UCUCUCUCCAAUAUUGGACAGGGAGUACCGGCGGCUGACUGACGGCCGGAAAGGGCGUGGCGAAUGGGGUCCUUCCCCAUCUUCUCAUUCCGAUUUGUUUUUUUAUUUUAUUUUCUUGCAUCUUUUCGUUCAUCCUAUGUCCUUGCAGGUUAUUGGAUUUUGGUCGCCCUCUCUGCUCCGUCGGGAGGAUGUGUACCAGCUGACCGUAUUAACCAGUUCAGACUUCAGAGACGGACUGAAAGAAGGUUCAAUUUACACCUUUGAAACGUUCAUCGGAUUACUCAGCUCACAAAGAUAGAGGAGAUUACUUCAGAGCCUGAAAGUUUCCAAAUAGGAAACAAUACACUCUUAUCAGACGUUGGCUUGGUGACAAUGCAGACAGAUAUUAUUCCAUCAAGGACAUGUCAAGAUUCAAUUAAGGAGAAAUAUUUACCUCAAAGAUGCAAGUGGUGAACAAGCUAUCGUCACCUUAUGGGGAGAACACGCAGAAGCUUUUGAUGCUGCCUUGCUGCACGAGUCAUCUUUUCACGACAGUAUUGUCGUACUUUUUGUUGGCAUGGCCGUUGCCCAGUAUUCAGUGUGGAUACUAUCACAGGAAAGUUGGCCUUCAAGAGCACAUCCCUAACUCGCUGGCAUGUCAAUAUACCAAUUCCAGAAAUGUCAGACAUACGGAAAAGAUAAAGUUGGCAAGGUUCAGGAAAUGCAAGAGCUGAGCCAACCAAGACAACGCUUUAUGAUCUGGCUAAGAAACCAAGAGAUGACAUUGUGGCCGCGCACCGUCUCAACCAUUGGCAAAAUAAUUAAUCCCUGACUGCACUUACCCGGUAAACUUGCAGGUGUCCCUUAAACUCUUCCGCUAUCGUUGCGUGAUUGUAUCUUUUCGAUAAUUUGUUCUCACUACAUUGUUUCGUAGGUUCUAUUCCUAGCACUGAAGACAUUAAACAGACCAAUGAGGUUGUCAAUGGCUUGCAUUAUUUUUUUGGCGUUUGCUAAAUCAGGAUCUAGAGUUAUAGAUCAUCUCCUUUCGGUACAAACUCCUGAAAAUUGAUAAUACCAUAGUUUUUCAUUUAACUUUGUGCUUAUUAAUCACACCUUCAAGCAGAUAGGAGAUGAUGCAGCUCUAGGCACACUCCCCAGUACUACUUUUUUCAGUCUUUCCUUUGUCCUGGGCGUGGCGUUAUCCUCUGUUUUUAUCGGGGGGCGCUGAAAGACUGGAAUGACAUAUGGUUGGUCAGGUUGCCAGGCCGCUAACAUGGUAGGUUGGUACAUUGUUUUGGAGGGGUGUUCAUGUUGCAUUGUGUGAAUGAGAUAUUUUACAGCCCCCUUUUUGAUGUUUGGAUGUACCGCCAAAAUAUAUUCUCUAUGGCGUUCUAUUUAUAUUCAAGGAAGAUAAGUUCCUCUAAAAUUCAUGUGUUCGUGUGGCUUUUGCAUUACAGCAAAUUGGUCAUUGGGUAUUGUGUAGGUUGGAGGCAAUAUAUUACUGACUCAGUAGAUUACUUUUAUUAGGGCUAAAUUUACCCAUGUUUCGCUUUUUAACUGUAGUGCUAAUUUACAGUAACAGGGCACAACUUGAUGAUCCUGAUCUGAUGGAGCAUUUUAUUUCUGGACUGCAGAUCAUGGUACACCGCCGCCCACAGGAUGACCUGCGAGUUCUGCGACCUCACGUCAAGCUUGGCCGCCAGGAUACGGCUGCCGGUGGUCGUGUCCCAGUCCAACUACUACAGACAGCGAGCAGGCCUGCAGAAAACGAUUGGAAGUCCUACUGCAGUGUGAUUAAAUGGAAAUCGGUACCAAAACAUGAUAUCCCAUAUUUAGCAAUGUAUCCUAUAAUCAGUCUUUUACAUAUUUGAAAGUGGUUAUGUGAUUUUGUUUUCUGCAUACUAUCUCUGUGAUAUGACGCCCAUAACCUGGAGUGAAUGUGCAGUUUUUUUUCAUGUCUGCAUCGAGAUUUAGUACUGUUUUCAUGCUAUCAUAGACUACUUAUCUGCCUUUCCAUCGUAUUUGAUCACAGUCAUUCUGCUGUUAAUAGAAUACGUGGUUUCUGACUGUAUGGAAGUUUCUUAUGGAGAAGUAGUAGCUUUAUUAUUUGUGACCUGUUAAAUAGAUAGUGAUAUCGUCCCCUUACAUUCAAGUGAUUCAACUGUUAUGAUAGCUCUUACUGUUGUAGGCUCACUAAGCGCAGCUUAGGGAACAUCAAUCUAUUCAAAAUAAUAAUGAAGGUAUAUGAAUUUUCUAUCCGUUUCAGUACAAUACUCAAUAUUCACAUGUUCCCUGUGUUUAGAUCACAAAUACUUAUCUAAAUAUAUUCCAAAAAAUAUUACAAGGUACUGAUCAUCAUGCACAGUGAUUUCUCUAUUUUCUAGACUUUCGUUUUCCGAGGGAUUCAUGUAAUUACUUUUUGACAUGCUGAUGCAGUGCUGCAGUUUAAUUCUUCGUUGUACUCAGUUAGGGACUUAGGUCUAUAAGGAGAUCAAAUAUUUCUUAGAGCUCUGAAUUGGUGUGCAUGUAGUAUAAUAAAGUGGUUCUUGAAUUUUACAUAUAUCCUCGCUUUGGGUUGAGUAAAUCGAUAAAAAUAUGCUUUUCUUUUUUGCUUUAUCUCUUUCUUAAGUGGUUGAAUUCAGAAGAUAAAAUACCCAUCUGCCACUGGCAUCUGGACUUUGUUUAUGCGAUAUACAUUUGACCGUGGCUCAGUUUCAAAUACUGAGUAAUUUGUUCUGAAGGGAGCUUGGCAAUUUUAGUGAGGCCUAAAGAUAGUGUUCAUAUGUUACAGUUGUAUCAUGAAAUCUGAAUCUGAAGUUUUGAAGUUCAGUUUGAAUGAAGGCUGCAAAGAAUAGAUAGACAGAGAAAUCGCUAACUUAGGUAUCUUUCACUCUGCGGAACUUCUAUUCGAUAGCAUAAUAUCAAGUAGAAGGUGCCAAGGCAGUGAGAUUGACAGCGAAAACAUUCUAUUGGAGGUUCUGCUGUUAUAUACAGGGCUGCACAGAGGCUCCUGGGAGUAAGAUUUGCUUUUGUUGGUGAUCGACUGCACAUGCACGUUGCUGUCCAGUUGUUAACAAUUUACUUGGUCCCCUUUACUAAUACACAGACCCAAUGACAUAUAUGCUUAUGUUCAUCACUACACGGUAUUAAAAAAUAGUGUACCCUAUUUCGUAAACCCCAAGUUUUAAGUGGAAAAGCACCUCUUUACUGUGAUGACUCAGUAUAGGAAGAAAAACCGGCUCACAAGUUUUGGUGUUCACACCCGAGUGGACAUGCUACCACAAACUGUGAUAAUUCUCAUCCUGGUUCAACAAGUGUGAUUUCGGUAACCUGCAUUUCUUGUGAUCAUGAUCCGUGCUUGCACUAUUUGUGGAAACCUAUAUGUGACACCCUGAAUCUGCUUUCAUAUUUUCCAGAUUUUGUUGCUUGGAUCGGCAGAAGCUGCCUACAUUUAAAUGUCCAUUGUGCAGAGGUCUCUGACUUGCAUGUUUAUGCUCUCAUGUAGAAUAAACAAUUAAUGCAGCAUUAGAUUUUUAUUCUUACAAGGUUUGUUCCAUAAGCCUAGAGCUUUUUGCAAGCACAGUUCACUCAGGAGUCAACAUUAAUGAGCAUAUAUAUAAGAUCAAUCAUCUCUAGGAUGUGGUAUCGCGUCGAGGCUACAGGUCAAGAACCAUCUCGCUUUUAAUGAAGAUUCAUGAUUGUUGCAUCCGUACAAUUAGCCAAUUUUCAUGAUGUUUGCCUCCAUGUCUUUCCUUAAAGGGGGUCUUCUAUUGUUCUCUGCUGUCACUUGAAGAUGUUGCAGCUACUAACCAUGCCCAGAAAAUUAUUAAUUGACCUUCAGUGUUUC